rnacentral:tRNA from 1 species
GGCCAGUUAACUCAGUUGGUUAGAGUGUCGUAUUAAUAAUGCGGAGACGUGGGUUCGACCCCCACACUGGCCA